GGGAGUCGCUUCGUUCGCGUUCCUGGUCCGCUUCGAGGACUCCGCCGCCUCUCCCCGGGAUUCUCGCGACCGAGCCGAAGAGGGACGCGUCGAGCAUGCGCGGAGACCGGGGCGCCCGGGCGAAGUGGACCCGCGGCUGCCGGCCGCGUCGAUAACGGGGCAUGCGCGCUGCGAGGGACGUCCCGGAGCGUGCUGAUCCCUCGCGGGCGGCGCGGCCGCGGCCACGCUGGCCGCUUGACAGCUGUCAGUCGGCGAGGUGACAGCUGCCAAGAAGUGACCGGCCCACCCCCCACCAGCACAGUGACGCCAAUCACAGUGUAGUGCGCGGGUUUGCCCCACUAAAAAUAACUCCAAGUGCUCCGUCGCUGUCAACUUGACAGCCUCUGUCCCCCGCUGUCAAAGUUACCCAUAGCGGUCCGUGAAUCGGUGCCCCCCAGGAGGCAUGCCUGGCGAGGGGGACGCUCCAUUACGCGCCCUCCUAGGCAAGCCUCUUGACAGCUGUCAACUCGCGAGGUGACAGAUGCCAACAGCUGCUCCGAAGCGCCGAUCAUUUGGACACUCGAGAAGAGGUCCACUUGCUGCGUCUUCGGGGAGUUUCGCGACGAGGGAGGAGAAUCUCUACCCUGGGCGGGCCAGAAGGAGACGGAGACUGUCCGGGAGGCCGCAGUCGUGGAUUUCGAUGUCCUGGGCACGAUGGCAGGGGGGGCGCUGUCGGACGAUGCCCCGAGGCCCGUCAGCAUAGUGCAGGUCGACGGCGCCGUCGUCCUCGAGGACUGCCAAGAUGGCGGCCAGGGGAACCAAGAUGGCCGCCAGGCCGAGGGCAACCAAGGUAGCCGCGGUGCGCGCGCAGAGGGCAACCAAGGUGGCCGCCAGACGCGCUCCUUCGCCUCGGCGGAGGCCCAGACCGAGGCGCCGACCACGCCGCCUACCGUCGACCCCGAGGAGGCGCGCACCGCCAGGAGGCGCGACCGCAGACCACGCAGACACCAUAGACGCGCCCUGAGGAGCUGCUCCGUGCCCCCGACCUACUUCGGAGGGGCCUGCGUGGGCGGCGGCGCCCCUGCCGUCCCCCUCGUCCCUCCGGUCGGCGGCUUCCUGCACCCCCCGCCGCCCCACCUCGGACUCAGGGGACUCAGCCUGGGACUGCCCUUUCCUGUGCCCGCCAGCGUCUCCGCCUUCGGCAGGGACGCAGUGCCGAAGCAGUGCUGCGGCCUGGGGUCGCCACCGGUACGCUGGUCCAUCCUUGGGGUCGGCAUCGGGGGCCUCGUCUGUGCAGGGGCCGGCGCCCUCCUCGGCGCCCUCAGGGCGACCGGCAGGGACCACAUCGCUGUCGCCCUCCUCAUGAUCGGUAUCGGCGUGGUCUUGGUGACGGUGAGCGCCGUGGCAUGGCGAGUAACCAGCAGGGAGAAUUGCGGCUUCUUCGGCUUAACUGGGAUCUCCACCAGGAUACCUCCUGCCAGACCCAUGCACCCAUACGCCGCCAUGAUUUACCCGGAGUUCCAGUUCAGGACGCCGCCGCCUAGUUACCAGGCCAGCAUGCAGGAGUACAGGCUGAGGCUGCUGCUGCUGGACCGACUGCAGCCGACCUCAUCGCCGCCGCCGACGUACAGGUCGAAUGCAGGGAGCGUUGUGGCUCCGGGGACGACGAGGGAAAGUAGACCUCCAAGUUAUUGCGGCAGGACCAACGUUGCUCCCUGUGCGGGAUUGGCGCCUUCGAAGAAGGACGCGAACCUCGUGCGAAUCGUACAGACCGAGUCCGAGCCCGUUAUUCUGAACGGGAACCAAACUCCUCCCGUGACCGUGGUCGAGGUGCUCGCCCACCUCUAGCCGCGUACGGGGAAACGCGUGUUCCGGAGAUGCCGGUGGUGGUACCUGUCGGCUCGUCGUGAUUGGCUGCCGAGCGAUGCGCAGAAACCUGCGCGAGAAGAAGAGGAUGCGCGAGUGCGCCUUGUCUUCCGCCAUAUUUGUACUGACUCGCGACUUAAGAGGUUAUGCGAGAUGCAGUUGUUGAACGUUUAUUUAUUGCAAACGGUGAAUUGUUUGGCGAGAUGCGACCGGAGACAAGAAUUGCGCAGUUCUGACCACAACCACAGGAUCCUUUUGUACCUUUCUAGGUUAUGUCGAUCUUCGAUGUUAACCUUGAAAUACGACCGGAACCGGCUGUCAAAGGACCGAUGAACUCUCGAAAUUUUCUCGCUUUCUGCGUGAGAAUGUGACUGUUCGAAGAAUUUCAAUGUGUUGAAAAUUAUUGGGACUGUGAGGUUAUGUAUAGACUGCGCAGAUAUUAAGCAUUGAUGUACAAGUACUGGUAUUUUUGUAAGCUGAGGGCCAACGUCUUGGUAUUGGCUCGCAGUCCUGCUGACUGCGAGUGGUAAUAAUACUUCCGAACGUGCUCCACGUGUGAAACCAAACUCGCAAUGAUUCGUGAUUAGACACGUAGUUCCUUAAUACGGUAGAAGAAAACUUGUAUAAUGAGAAUUAAUAAAGUAUAUUUAUCUGAUUA
rnacentral:misc_RNA from 1 species